rnacentral:rRNA from 1 species
ACAUGCAGUCGAACGCUUUUUCUUUCACCGGAGCUUGCUCCAUCGAAAGAAAAAGAGUGGCGAUCGGGUGAGUAACACGUGGGUAACCUGCCCAUCAGAAGGGGAUAACACUUGGAAACAGGUGCUAAUACCGUAUAACACUAUUUUCCGCAUGGAAGAAAGUUGAAAGGCGCUUUUGCGUCACUGAUGGAUGGACCCGCGGUGCAUUAGCUAGUUGGUGAGGUAACGGCUCACCAAGGCAACGAUGCAUAGCCGACCUGAGAGGGUGAUCGGCCACACUGGGACUGAGACACGGCCCAGACUCCUACGGGAGGCAGCAGUAGGGAAUCUUCGGCAAUGGACGAAAGUCUGACCGAGCAACGCCGCGUGAGUGAAGAAGGUUUUCGGAUCGUAAAACUCUGUUGUUAGAGAAGAACAAGGAUGAGAGUAGAACGUUCAUCCCUUGACGGUAUCUAACCAGAAAGCCACGGCUAACUACGUGCCAGCAGCCGCGGUAAUACGUAGGUGGCAAGCGUUGUCCGGAUUUAUUGGGCGUAAAGCGAGCGCAGGCGGUUUCUUAAGUCUGAUGUGAAAGCCCCCGGCUCAACCGGGAAUC